rnacentral:rRNA from 1 species
UACGAAGGGGGCUAGCGUUGUUCGGAAUUACUGGGCGUAAAGCGCACGUAGGCGGGUUGUUAAGUCAGGGGUGAAAUCCUGGAGCUCAACUCCAGAACUGCCUUUGAUACUGGCAACCUAGAGACUGGAAGAGGUUAGUGGAAUUCCCAGUGUAGAGGUGAAAUUCGUAGAUAUUGGGAAGAACACCAGUGGCGAAGGCGGCUAACUGAUCCAGCACUGACGCUGAGGUGCGAAAGCGUGGGGAGCAAACAGG